rnacentral:rRNA from 1 species
UUCCUACGGGGGGCAGCAGUGGGGGAUAUUGCACAAUGGGGGGAACCCUGAUGCAGCGACGCCGCGUGGGCGAUGGAGUACUUCGGUAUGUAAAGCCCUAUCAGCAGGGAAGAAAAUGACGGUACCUGACUAAGAAGCCCCGGCUAAAUACGUGCCAGCAGCCGCGGUAAUACGUAUGGUGCAAGCGUUAUCCGGAUUUACUGGGUGUAAAGGGAGCGCAGGCGGUUCUGCAAGUCUGAUGUGAAAGCCCGGGGCUCAACCGCGGGACUGCAUUGGAAACUGCGGGCCUGGAGUGUCGGUGGGGG